AGCCGUGAUGUAGCCUGUGUACUGAAUAUAAAGGAGGCGUUUGGGCGCUAGGGCAUUGGUCGCCGGGGCGUUGGUCGCCGGGAAAAAAAAGUAUGCUCCUUCUUCCACUUCUGUCCGGCGUGAAAAAGAGAGAGCGCGGCAACAACAGGCUUCACACAGCGAGAAGUAAAUGCCUAAUACCAGCGACUGAUCUUAUCCUGAUGCAAACGUCCGGGUGGAGAUUCCAUGAGCAGGCGAGCUCGUCCACUCCUUUGAGUUUUCGCUGCAAAAACAUCCUACAUUAGUGAACAAAGCUUCAAUUGUGCCUACUGAAACUUGGAGCUGCAGUGGUGUGGCUGUAAACUACACCUUGAGUGGAACCAGCAUACUUGGCACAUCAUGUACACCAUUAUUGAGAAGCAACACUAGUGGUGUUCAAGCUCAAACAAUUCCACAUUCAGUGAUUACAUUACACUACAUACACAUCUGUGACUCAGUUUUCUUCACUCGGAAAAACAGUACCAAAUUAAGUCCAAACGCGAUGAAACUUUAUGAUGAUUUUUUCUGGAAGAAGGGACCCUAGAAGGUUCGGGAGGAGGCCAGAUGAGCUACAAGAGAGCCACGAGCUCACAUAGCACGUCAUAGGGGGGUAGGCACGUCCUCUUAGCUCGUGGAGCCCACACAACAACGUUUGAACUAAUUCCACCUCUAUAAAUUCUCAAAUAUUCCCAUACCAACAGAGAGCCACCCGAAACACUUUUCCACCAUCGCAACCUUCUGUUCUUCCAUAACCCCAUCUAGAGGCCUUUUUCAGUACUCUGAUGAAGGGGGAAUCGAUUAUGGAGGGUGAUACAUCUCCAACAUAUCUAUAAUUUUUUAUUGUUCCAUGCUAUUAUAGUAUCAAUCUUGGAUGCUUUAUAUGU